GCCCGCCUAGCUCAAUCGGAUAGAGCGUCAGACUUUUACGGCGGAGUCACCGAUCUGAAGUACCAUCUGAAGGCUGCGAGUUCGACCCUCGCGGUGGGCU
rnacentral:tRNA from 1 species